rnacentral:lncRNA from 1 species
CCCGAUCGUCGGCACUUCGGAGAUUAUUACCCGAUGGUUGACCUCCGACACACAGUCAGUUGGUACAUUCAAAUACAUCAUAAUCAUCACGGAUGGUUAAUCUACUGAUAUCUCAGUGUAAUUCGAGGGGAUUUAUAAUCCACCGUGAGAUUACCGCCCAAUGAUCCUAUGCCACCAAAUGCGGGACCAAAUCUGACGAUUAC